GGAGGAGGAGAAAUGGGAGGAGGUACACAUACUCUCUGAGAACAGUUGCACUCAUACAGAAACGGUUGCUGAUCUGCUGAAAGAGUCAAGUUACCUCCAAACAUCCAGCUCUGCUCCAUCCGUCAGUCUGAACCGGAGCAGGCUAAUUAGAUGAAGAGCUUGAGACCAGCAGGCACCACAAACAAACUUCAAUAAAAAAAAAAAAAAAACAAAGAAAAAAAGAAGGGGGGAGGGUAAAAUCAAGAAGGAACAAAUCAUCUGUGAAACAUCGUGAGACUGCUGAGUUUAUUUCUCCUUUCAGAGAAAAGUUGAGUGGAACGAGUGACGCUCAUUUACUGCUGAGGUAUCAGGUUCUACAGAGGUCUUCCUUCUUCCCUGGAAAGAAGAGCCAUUUUUGCAUCUUACCUUGCACCACCCACAUCCAGAAGCCAGCAUGGAUGUGAAAGACGAGUUUAUGAAUAUUAUUCUGAAACUGUGGAAUAAGCUUCAGGGUCUCCCAAAUGCAAGUCCAUUGGAGCUGGGGACCUUCCUUAUUCUCAUCCUAUUUGUCGCCACCUUCCUCUUCAUGGUCCUGCUCUCCUGCAUUCACUGCUGCUGUUGCGGAAAGCCCAAAUACCAGGGCUCGAGAGUUCAACCUCUGCAGGUGGCCUGAAAAUGAGGCAGAGACCUUGUUCCAACAACAAAUAAAACCCUUCAGCCUAUCUUUCAAUCUGUCAAAUGAACACUCACAUGAUGAAAUAUCUUUGAUCAAAGCUACAACUGAGGAAAUCUUUCUAUUCAGUCAAUGAUUUCUUUGAAGGGAUCAGGCAAAGUGGGCAUGAAAUGUGACGAACAGAGGGAAAGAUGGGAAGUCAGUGUCAUGAUGUUUUCAGUACUGGGUUUAGGAUCAUUGCAUCAGCAUCCAAUAAGCCGUGCCACUGGAAUCCAUAUGAAUGAGCAAAGCGACACAACUCAUCAAGAUUCCUUACAAAGCAGAACAAUGAAACACUGAGGCAGUGUUUCACGGAUGAGAAGAUACAGCAAAAAGCUGCUUUGUGCUCCAAUGUAACAGACUCUUUUAUUACAGAUGUAAGUGUCCUGAAUCCUGUCAAACGUUCAUCAGGCGUGUGAAGAACAUCAUUCCAGUAUGUGUAUAUGUUGUGGACUUGAAGUUGCAUGUGUUUGACAGAAACCAGUCUUUUUUGUAAGGAGUCGGCGCCCUCUGCUGACUCAGUGAUGACAUGUUUGUUUAAAAAGUGUGUCAGUGGAAAAUGGAAGCUUUUGUUUGUUGUACAACUUUUAUAAAUGUAUUCUUGUGUAAAAUAUAGUUGUUAGACAGUGGAAAUGUCAAGUUACAUGUUAUGUUUGAUUAUUCUAAAUCUAUUUAAGUUUAAUAAAUUUUAUUAUUUGUAAAAUAAUAAUAAUAGGCUACCUGCUUCUUGAUUAAAGCUGCAAAAUGUUAUUGCAUGGUAAUAAUAUUAGAUCAGCUUUCCAAAAAUUGAGCUUUGAUCUAAUGCCAAUCAGAGAGACAUGUCAGCAGCACUGUGUGCAUAACUUAUCACCACAUUUCUUCUUUGCCUUCAACUGCUAACAUUUUGAGUUUAAACAUUAACCAGGAGCACUUGUUUUUUAGUUUGAAUGUCCACCCAGAGACAAUUAUAUUGUCCCUAAAGCAAAGUGGGAGAAGUUUGGGAUUUCAGAAUGCUUCCUCUUGGCACCAAGUUAUAGUAAACAGUAGUAUUUAUGCUAUUUAGAUAGUUGCUCUGCUUUGUGUAAACCAGAACAGAAGCUGUAUACUCACAGACUGUUGGGAGCCACUGAGUCGGGACAGGAUCAUUUACCAGGACAUGGCAGUGCUGAGUGUGCCUGAGCACCAGAAACCCACUGGGUCACCGGUGGAUUGGGUGGACUGGUUCCUGUAUCGUCUGCAGCAAGAGCCAUGGGCACUGGGCGGUUUUGUGGUCAUGGGAAUGUUUGUGUUGGGAACAUUGUCUCUGGCACUGUUUGCCGUGCUAUAUGGCUGCUGCUGCAGCCGGCAUGAAGAGACUCAAAAGAAGAAGAAACAGAAGAGUUUAAAGAAUGCAGUGAUUUAGAUGUGUGCAGAGAACUGUCAUUUAUAUAAUCUUUAUUACAAUGUCAGAUUUUGCUUGAACACCAUUGGGUAAUUAUUAUUAUUUUUAUUUUUUCAGUUGUGGGAGUAACCUGAUUUAUUAUAACAUCCAUCUCUCAAAUGUAAAUUAAAUCAGAAUGUUUGA